GCUGGGUGUGGUGGUGCACACCCGUAAUCCCAGUGCCUCUGGAGGCCAAGGCAGGAGGAUCAUGAGUUCAAAGUCAGCCUCAGCAAGUUAGUGAGGCUCUAAGCAACUCAGCGAGAUCCUGUCUCUA
rnacentral:sRNA from 1 species